rnacentral:ncRNA from 1 species
CAAAGGCUUGGUCCUGACUUUACUGUCAGCUUUAACCAAAUUUAUACAUGCAAGUCUCCGCACCCCUGUGAGGAUGCCCUUAUAUUCUCCGUUCCAGAACGAGGAGCUGGUAUCAGGCACACCUAAUCAGCCCAUGACACCUUGCUAAACCACACCCCCAAGGAACUUCAGCAGUAAUAGAUUUUAAGCCAUAAGCGAAAGCUUGACUUAGUUAAAGUUAAACUAGGGUCGGUAAAACUCGUGCCAGCCACCGCGGUUAUACGAGAGACUCAAGUUGACAAACCUCGGCGUAAAAGUGGUCAAGGUCAAACCUACUAAAGCCAAACAUCCCCUUAGCUGUUAUACGCUUUCGGAGGAAUGAAGCCCACACACGAAAGUAGCUCUACCCCCCCCCUGAACCCACGAGAGCUAAAAAACAAACUAGGAUUAGAUACCCUACUAUGUCUAGCCACAAACAUUGAUAUUAAAACACAACUAAUAUUCGCCUGGGUACUACAAGCAAUGCUUUAAACCCAAAGGACUUGGCGGUACUUCAGACCCUCUUAGAGGAGCCUGUUCUAGAACUGAUAAUCCCCGUUUAACCUCACCACUUCUCGUCAAUCCCGCCUAUAUACCGCCGUCGUCAGCUCACCCUGUGAAGGACUCACAGUGAGCAAAACGGGCACAGCCCAGAACGUCAGGUCGAGGUGUAGCGUAUGAGGUGGCAAGAAAUGGGCUACAUUUCCUAAUCUAGGAAAACACAAACAUUGUUAUGAAAUACAACUAUUGAAGGUGGAUUUAACAAUAAGAAGAGAACAGCACACUCUUCUGAAGCCGGCUCUGAAGUGCGUACACACCGCCCGUCAUUCUCUCCAAGCCUAUUAAUAUUCCUUACAUAAGAAAAACCCCAAGCACAGGAGAGGCAAGUCGUAACAUGGUAAGUGUACUGGAAAGUGCACUUGGAAUA